rnacentral:rRNA from 1 species
CCUACGGGUGGCUGCAGUGGGGAAUAUUGCACAAUGGGCGCAAGCCUGAUGCAGCCAUGCCGCGUGUGUGAAGAAGGCCUUCGGGUUGUAAAGCACUUUCAGCGGGGAGGAAGGCGUUAAGGUUAAUAACCUUGUCGAUUGACGUUACCCGCAGAAGAAGCACCGGCUAACUCCGUGCCAGCAGCCGCGGUAAUACGGAGGGUGCGAGCGUUAAUCGGAAUUACUGGGCGUAAAGCGCACGCAGGCGGUCUGCCAAGUCGGACGUGAAAUCCCCGGGCUCAACCUGGGAACUGCAUUCGAAACUGGCAGGCUAGAGUCUUGUAGAGGGGGGUAGAAUUCCAGGUGUAGCGGUGAAAUGCGUGGAGAUCUGGAGGAAUACCGGUGGCGAAGGCGGCCCCCUGGACAAAGACUGACGCUCAGGUGCGAAAGCGUGGGGAGCAAACAGGAUUAGAUACCCGGGUAGUC